UUAAUAAGUGUUUUAUGGCACUUUUUAAAUCCAUAUCCACCUUGUGUGCAAUGUCAGUCGAUCUUCUUCAUGGAGAUCGACCAAACAUCAACCUUUAUCUUUUAACUCUUUGUCUGAAAAAUAUUAUGAAUAAACAAUUCAAAAUA
rnacentral:misc_RNA from 1 species